GAUGAACGCUGGCGGCGUGCCUAAUACAUGCAAGUCGAGCGAACAGACGAGGAGCUUGCUCCUCUGACGUUAGCGGCGGACGGGUGAGUAACACGUGGAUAACCUACCUAUAAGACUGGGAUAACUUCGGGAAACCGGAGCUAAUACCGGAUAAUGUAUUGAACCGCAUGGUUCAAUAGUGAAAGACGGUUUUGCUGUCACUUAUAGAUGGAUCCGCGCCGCAUUAGCUAGUUGGUAAGGUAACGGCUUACCAAGGCGACGAUGCGUAGCCGACCUGAGAGGAUGAUCGGCCACACUGGAACUGAGACACGGUCCAGACUCCUACGGGAGGCAGCAGUAGGGAAUCUUCCGCAAUGGGCGAAAGCCUGACGGAGCAACGCCGCGUGAGUGAUGAAGGUCUUCGGAUCGUAAAACUCUGUUAUUAGGGAAGAACAAAUGUGUAAGUAACUAUGCACGUCUUGACGGUACCUAAUCAGAAAGCCACGGCUAACUACGUG
rnacentral:rRNA from 1 species